rnacentral:rRNA from 1 species
AAUGAACGCUAGCGGCAGGCCUAACACAUGCAAGUCGAGGGGUAACUAGAGUGAUAGCAAUAUUACUUUGGCUAGACCGGCGCACGGGUGCGUAACACGUAUGCAACCUACCUUAUACUGGGGAAUAACUUCGAGAAAUCGGCGCUAAUACCCCAUAACAUUGCGAAGAGGCAUCUCUUUGCAAUUAAAGCUCCGGCGGUAUAAGAUGGGCAUGCGUCCAAUUAGCUAGUUGGUGAGGUAACGGCUCACCAAGGCUACGAUUGGUAGGGGUUCUGAGAGGAUGAUCCCCCAAACUGGUACUGAGACACGGACCAGACUGCUACGGGAGGAAGCAGUGAGGAAUAUUGCGCAAUGGACGAAAGUCUGACGCAGCCAUGCCGCGUGCAGGAUGACGGCCCUAUGGGUUGUAAACUGCUUUUGUACGGGAAUAAACCCUUCUACGUGUAGGAGGCUGAAGGUACCGUAAGAAUAAGCACCGGCUAACUCCGUGCCAGCCGCCGCCGUAACAC